rnacentral:rRNA from 1 species
AACGAACGCUGGCGGAAGGCUUAACACAUGCAAGUCGAGCGCACUCUUCGGAGUGAGCGGCAGACGGGUGAGUAACGCGUGGGAACAUGCCCUUUGGUUCGGAAUAGCCCUUGGAAACGAGGAGUAAUGCCGGAUAAGCCCUACGGGGAAAGAUUUAUCGCCGAAGGAUUGGCCCGCGUUAGAUUAGCUAGUUGGUGAGGUAAUGGCUCACCAAGGCGACGAUCUAUAGCUGGUCUGAGAGGAUGAUCAGCCACACUGGGACUGAGACACGGCCCAGACUCCUACGGGAGGCAGCAGUGGGAAUCUUGGACAAUGGGCGCAAGCCUGAUCCAGCCAUUCCGCGUGGAUGAUGAAGGCCUUAGGGUUGUAAAAUCCUUUCAGCAGGGAAGAUAAUGACGGUACCUGCAAAAAGAA